GCAACUAACAUCGUCUUCGAUAAAAUUGGAACGAUACAAAGAAAAUUAGAAAAUUAGCAUGGCCCUUGCUGACACGCACAAAUCGAGAAAUAGUUCAAAUGUUU